GACGAACGCUGGCGGCGUGCUUAACACAUGCAAGUCGAACGGAAAGGCCCUGCUUUUGUGGGGUGCUCGAGUGGCGAACGGGUGAGUAACACGUGAGUAACCUGCCCUUGACUUUGGGAUAACUUCAGGAAACUGGGUCUAAUACCGGAUAGGAGCUCCUGCUGCAGGGUGGGGGUUGGAAAGUUUCGGCGGUUGGGGAUGGACUCGCGGCUUAUCAGCUUGUUGGUGGGGUAGUGGCUUACCAAGGCUUUGACGGGUAGCCGGCCUGAGGGGGUGACCGGCCACAUUGGGACUGAGAUACGGCCCAGACUCCUACGGGAGGCAGCAGUGGAGAAUAUUGCACAAUGGGCGGAAGCCUGAUGCAGCAACGCCGCGUGCGGGAUGACGGCCUUCGGGUUGUAAACCGCUUUCGCCUGUGACGAAGCGUGAGUGACGGUAAUGGGUAAAGAAGCACCGGCUAACUACGUG
rnacentral:rRNA from 1 species